UCCUCCGUGGCGCAAUUGGCUAGCGCGUCGUAAGUAAAAUCCAAUAGGGACUAUUAACGAUCUAUUAUCUAAUCAUAUAUACAGUGACUGUUAAUCAGGAGGUUGAAAGUUCGAGCCUUUCCGGGGGAG
rnacentral:tRNA from 1 species